CGAGCCCGAAGAGCAGCAGCGCGAUGGGCACGACGAGGUGAGCGGAGCGCUGAGCCAUGAUGGACCGACCGGGGGGAGCGCGUCUCCUCUGCGCGCCUGGUGGGAACCGGAGCGCCGCCUUCAGAGGCUCCGCGGCGGCCAGAUAGCAAAGUGUGACCUGAAUUGAAGCCGGGAGCGCAGCAGCUCCAUGAGGCUGGAACCGGGCGGUGAAUGGAUCCGGCUCCAGGACGACCGCUGCCAUGGAGGGAAAAAAUGUCUUUAUCCUGGAGGAACCUGCUGCUCCUUCACAUUCAGCCGUGGCGGGGUGGAGCCACACUGCUUCUAAUCACUUCCUUGUUAAUUUAGGAGCAGGUCACGUGAUUGAUAAUUACUCCAUGGUGGACCUGGAUGUGGUCCAGUUCUGGACUAGAGGAGCUGCAGGGCCUCUUGUUGCUUUCCUCCAGGAUUUGCAUGUGAAUGGGCAAAGCUUAAAAGCUGACUUGCAAAUUGUCCUCAUUUGAAUGGAUAAAGCAUGGAAAUGAAGUUUUCACUGGAGGCCUAUACCCUCUUUGUAUUUUUUAAAGGCCUGUUUUAUUGCAGAGUCUAAAUUUAGCAGAAUAUAUAAUGAGUUAUUUUGAAGGAGCUUCUUAUGUUGUCGCAAAUUAUUAUCACAAUAUGCUAAAUAUUCCCCAGAAAAGUGACUGACAAUAUUCCGUUUAUAUCUUCAGUAGAAUAAUAUGCAACUGCCACAAAGACACAAUAUUAUAAUUAGUCAUACACUUCAAUUAUUGCCUCCCACCCAGUGGCUUAACUUCAACACAAUCAGUUUUAUUGCAAAGUAGGUUUUCACAUACAAGGAAUUUGACUUCUGAUUGGUGUGUUAAGGUUCAAAUCUUAAGAAAGAUAUGAAGAAUUUAAAAGAAAGCAAGCACUGCAGAUCAAAUAAACAGCAAAUCCAGGGAAUUUUAAGUGAUAUAAAAGCAAUGUGAUGUCCACUAAUGUACAAAAGUGCAAGUUAUUCACUUAAAAAUGUACAAAUUUACACAACAUAGAACUUUAUUGCCAUUCAACCUAUAUAUAAUACACGACACAUACAGAAUUUCAAGCAUUGGCUCACUGUAAUAUAAAUAAAACUAAAUAGCCUCCUAUAAAACAACACGGAGGUCAGAUUAAAAAGGAAAUGCCUUAAAAUGAUUGCAGCAAUAAAUAUAUUUACACACGUAAAGUAUAAAACAAUAAUGUUGUGUAUUGCAUAUUGCAAAAUGCCCACAUAGACGCUAUAAGUGAUAAAUCUUUGUUAUUGUGACGUAUAUAUCUUCUUCCUUCCAUUACUAGAUUUUCAUUGAUUUAUGUGUUUGUUUGUUUGUUUUUGCAUCUCAAAUCACUGUAGGCCAACGAGUUCAUUUUUUUGGUCACAUGUUUCCGUUAUUGACUUGACUGUCAUGUAGAAGAGCACCAUAAGGAAUCAUGUAUAAAACGUUUUUCAUGCAGCCCUCAAUGAACUAAAAACAAAUGGAAUGAUUGUUUUAAAACAUGCUUGUGUAAUUGUUGAUGGAAGGGUUAUGAUAUAUGUCCAGUUCCAUAGAUAUGUCUGUAACAUUCUAAUGAGUUUUAAAUGUUGGUUGUUUGCUCCUCUAAAGUUUUACAAAAUCUUCUAUCCAAGCUUUGCCAAAAAAACUGCAUAAACUAAAUCUUACACAAAAGAAACAGUGUCCUACAGCUUGUAUAAUGCAAAAAACAUGUGUAGUUUGUGCCAACACUGUUUCUCGAAGGGUACUUUAUUUACUUUGAGCACCGAAUAUGAACUUAUUAAAAUAAAUACGCAUUUAUUAAAAUGAAUACACAUUUAUUAAAAUAAAUGCAUCAUCAUGCAUUGUAUUGUAUUCAUUAAAAUAAAUGAAUACAAAACUUG